rnacentral:rRNA from 1 species
AUACGGAGGGUGCUAGCGUUGUUCGGAAUUACUGGGCGUAAAGCGCGCGUAGGCGGACUGAUCAGUUGGGGGUGAAAUCCCAGGGCUUAACCCUGGAACUGCCUCCAAUACUGUCAGUCUUGAGUUCGGGAGAGGUGAGUGGAAUUCCUAGUGUAGAGGUGAAAUUCGUAGAUAUUAGGAAGAACACCAGUGGCGAAGGCGACUCACUGGCCCGAUACUGACGCUGAGGCGCGAAAGCGUGGGGAGCAAACAGGAUUAGAAACCCUAGUAGUCC